rnacentral:lncRNA from 1 species
GUAGAAAAAAAAUAUUUAUUUAAAAAGAUUGUGAAAGUAAUUGAAUGAGCAUGCAUAUACGCAAUAGACAUACAGACUGGCGAGGCGGUUGACGAUGGCAUGGAGCUGUAUAAGAGUGUUGAAAAUUUUGGCCACAAAAAAAUGAAUUAACGGUACUUUAAGUUUGGAAAAUAUCAAUGUUAUGACCUGACUUUCCUUGAUAGUGGGGUUAAAGAGAAAAAUGAAACCAAAUGUUAACCAUACAAUUAAUUUAUUGUUUGAACUGGUUUGAUUGGAUCCUGAUCUGAAAUGUAGCAAGGCAACCUCAAAUAAAAAUUUCCAUUUUAAGACAACGUUUCGGGAAAUAAUAAAUUUUCUCGAUAACUACUUUGGUAAGUGCUUCAAAAUUUCCAAGACGGUAAUAAAUGUCGGUCCAAUUAAUUAAUUGUAGCCGCAUCCUAGCUAGAAAUUCUAACUUUAUGACGUAUAAACGCUUCAUGAAAUUUCAUUGGAUCUCACUUUGCUUCAAAUUUUGUAACAGAUUCAAAUUUUAUUGGUCCCGUUGUUGCCUUCUACUGGCAAGAUAUCGCAGUAUAAUCAUGGUAAGGAGAAAAUUAUACUACAAUCUUGAUAAAUUUGUACCUUUAAAUAAUAUAUUAAUUUGAGGUAUAUUUGCUUAAUUAUUAAAUUUUUCUUGGACUCAAAGAUAUUAACUUAUACAAGUUUUAUACUUUUACUGUAUUAGGGUUUGAAUUUUUUUU